UACGUAGGGUGCGAGCGUUAAUCGGAAUUACUGGGCGUAAAGCGUGCGCAGGCGGUUUUGUAAGCCAGAUGUGAAAUCCCCGAGCUUAACUUGGGAACUGCAUUUGGGACUGCAAGGCUAGAGUACGGCAGAGGGGGUAGAAUUCCUGGUGUAGCAGUGAAAUGCGUAGAUAUCAGGAGGAAUACCGAUGGCGAAGGCAGCCCCCUGGGUCGAUACUGACGCUCAUGCACGAAAGCGGUGGGGAGCAAACAGG
rnacentral:rRNA from 1 species